GAUGAACGCUGGCGGCGUGCCUAAUACAUGCAAGUCGAGCGAACAGACGAGGAGCUUGCUCCUCUGACGUUAGCGGCGGACGGGUGAGUAACACGUGGAUAACCUACCUAUAAGACUGGGAUAACUUCGGGAAACCGGAGCUAAUACCGGAUAAUAUAUUGAACCGCAUGGUUCAAUAGUGAAAGACGGUUUUGCUGUCACUUAUAGAUGGAUCCGCGCCGCAUUAGCUAGUUGGUAAGGUAACGGCUUACCAAGGCAACGAUGCGUAGCCGACGUGAGAGGGUGAUCGGCCACACUGGAACUGAGACACGGUCCAGACUCCUACGGGAGGCAGCAGUAGGGAAUCGUCCGCAAAGGGCGAAAGCAUGACGGAGCAACGCCGCGUGAGUGAUGAAGGUCUUCGGAUCGUAAAACUCUGUUAUUAGGGAAGAACAAAUGUGUAAGUAACUAUGCACGUCUUGACGGUACCUAAUCAGAAAGCCACGGCUAACUACGUG
rnacentral:rRNA from 1 species